rnacentral:hammerhead_ribozyme from 1 species
AUCCAGCUGAAGAUUUCCAAAUGGAACGAAACAUAUGUCCUGAAU